AAAGCAGCGAUGUUCUUCGGC
rnacentral:miRNA from 1 species